GGUUCCGUAGCUCAAAUGGAUUAGAGCAAGCGCCCAAUAAGUGUAAGUGUUGCAGGUUCGAGUCCUGUCGGAACCAC
rnacentral:tRNA from 1 species